ACGGGUGAGUAACGCGUGGGAACGUGCCUUCCGGUUCGGAAUAACCCUGGGAAACUAGGGCUAAUACCGGAUACGCCCUUAUGGGGAAAGGUUUACUGCCGGAAGAUCGGCCCGCGUCUGAUUAGCUAGUUGGUGGGGUAACGGCCUACCAAGGCGACGAUCAGUAGCUGGUCUGAGAGGAUGAUCAGCCACACUGGGACUGAGACACGGCCCAGACUCCUGCGGGAGGCAGCAGUGGGGAAUAUUGGACAAUGGGCGCAAGCCUGAUCCAGCCAUGCCGCGUGAGUGAUGAAGGCCUUAGGGUUGUAAAGCUCUUUUAUCCGGGACGAUAAUGACGGUACCGGAGGAAUAAGCCCCGGCUAACUUCGUGCCAGCAGCCGCGGUAAUACGAAGGGGGCUAGCGUUGCUCGGAAUCACUGGGCGUAAAGGGCGCGUAGGCGGCGUUUUAAGUCGGGGGUGAAAGCCUGUGGCUCAACCACAGAAUGGCCUUCGAUACUGGGACGCUUGAGUAUGGUAGAGGUUGGUGGAACUGCGAGUGUAGAGGUGAAAUUCGUAGA
rnacentral:rRNA from 1 species